UAGGGAAUCUUCCGCAAUGGACGCAAGUCUGACGGAGCAACGCCGCGUGAGUGAAGAAGGAUUUCGGUUCGUAAAACUCUGUUGUUAGAGAAGAACAGCGCAUAGAGUAACUGUUAUGCGUGUGACGGUAUCUAACCAGAAAGCCACGGCUAACUACGUGCCAGCAGCCGCGGUAAUACGUAGGUGGCAAGCGUUGUCCGGAUCUAUUGGGCGUAAAGCGAGCGCGGGCGGUCAAUUAAGUCUGAUGUGAAAGCCCCCGGCUCAACCGGGGAGGGUCAUUGGAAACUGGUUGACUUGAGUGCAGAAGAGGAGAGUGGAAUUCCAGUUGUAGCGGUGAAAUGCGUAGAUAUAUGGAGGAACACCAGUGACGAAGGCGACUCACUGGUCUGUAACUGACGCUGAGGCUCGAAAGCGUGGGUAACAAACAGG
rnacentral:rRNA from 1 species